rnacentral:rRNA from 1 species
UACGUAGGGGGCAAGCGUUGUCCGGAUUUACUGGGCGUAAAGAAUGCGUAGGCGGAUAUUUAAGUGGGAUGUGAAACCCCCGAGCUCAACUUGGGAACUGCAUUCCAAACUGGAUAUCUAGAGUGCGGGAGAGGAGAGUGGAAUUCCUAGUGUAGCGGUGAAAUGCGUAGAGAUUAGGAAGAACACCAGUGGCGAAGGCGACUCUCUGGACCGUAACUGACGCUGAGGCAUGAAAGCGUGGGGAGCAAACAGG